AUUGAACGCUGGCGGCAUGCCUUACACAUGCAAGUCGAACGGUAACGGGCCUUCGGGUGCCGACGAGUGGCGAACGGGUGAGUAAUACAUCGGAACGUGCCCGAUCGUGGGGGAUAACGAGGCGAAAGCUUUGCUAAUACCGCAUACGAUCUACGGAUGAAAGCAGGGGACCGCAAGGCCUUGCGCGGACGGAGCGGCCGAUGGCAGAUUAGGUAGUUGGUGGGAUAAAAGCUUACCAAGCCGACGAUCUGUAGCUGGUCUGAGAGGAUGAUCAGCCACACUGGGACUGAGACACGGCCCAGACUCCUACGGGAGGCAGCAGUGGGGAAUUUUGGACAAUGGGCGCAAGCCUGAUCCAGCCAUGCCGCGUGCAGGAUGAAGGCCUUCGGGUUGUAAACUGCUUUUGUACGGAACGAAAAGCCUUCUUUUAAUACAGGAGGGUCAUGACGGUACCGUAAGAAUAAACACCGGCUAACUACGU
rnacentral:rRNA from 1 species